rnacentral:rRNA from 1 species
GGUAGCUUGCUACCCGCUGACGAGCGGCGGACGGGUGAGUAAUGCCUAAGAAUCUGCCUAGUAGUGGGGGAUAGCCCGGGGAAACCCGGAUUAAUACCGCAUACGCCCUACGGGGGAAAGCGGGGGACCUUCGGGCCUCGUGCUAUUGGAUGAGCCUGCGUAAGAUUAGCUUGUUGGUGAGGUAAUGGCUCACCAAGGCGACGAUCUUUAGCUGGUCUGAGAGGAUGAUCAGCCACACCGGGACUGAGACACGGCCCGGACUCCUACGGGAGGCAGCAGUCGGGAAUAUUGCGCAAUGGGGGAAACCCUGACGCAGCCAUGCCGCGUGUGUGAAGAAGGCCCUAGGGUUGUAAAGCACUUUCAAUUGGGAGGAAAAGCUAAUGGUUAAUAACUAUUAGCCCUGACGUUACCUUUAGAAGAAGCACCGGCUAACUCCGUGCCAGCAGCCGCGGUAAUACGGAGGGUGCAAGCGUUAAUCGGAAUUACUGGGCGUAAAGCGCGCGUAGGCGGUUUUUUAAGUCGGAUGUGAAAGCCCCGGGCUCAACCUGGGAACUGCAUCCGAUACUGGAUGACUAGAAUGCGGGAGAGGGAGGUAGAAUUCCAUGUGUAGCAGUGAAAUGCGUAGAUAUAUGGAGGAAUACCAGUGGCGA